GACGAACGCUGGCGGCGUGCCUAAUACAUGCAAGUCGAACGCUUCUUUCCUCCCGAGUGCUUGCCCUCCAUUGGAAAGAGGAGUGGCGGACGGGUGAGUAACACGUGGGUAACCUACCCAUCAGAGGGGGAUAACACUUGGAAACAGGUGCUAAUACCGCAUAACAGUUUAUGCCGCAUGGCAUAAGAGUGAAAGGCGCUUUCGGUUGUCGCUGAUGGAUGGACCCGCGGUGCAUUAGCUAGUUGGUGAGGUAACGGCUCACCAAGGCCACGAUGCAUAGCCGACCUGAGAGGGUGAUCGGCCACACUGGGACUGAGACACGGCCCAGACUCCUACGGGAGGCAGCAGUAGGGAAUCUUCGGCAAUGGACGAAAGUCUGACCGAGCAACGCCGCGUGAGUGAAGAAGGUUUUCGGAUCGUAAAACUCUGUUGUUAGAGAAGAACAAGGACGUUAGUAACUGAACGUCCCCUGACGGUAUCUAACCAGAAAGCCACGGCUAACUACGUG
rnacentral:rRNA from 1 species